GAAAUGGAACGAGGUAAUAAUCUUCUUCCUCCUCGGUCUAUGAGAAUUGCAGGUAUCGUAUCCGAUCCAGUGGCCACAAAGCUCGAUUUUAGGAUGCAUUUGACGACCUGCAGCAAUGGAUUGACUGAUACGCGAUAAAUCCUACCUCGCGAAGGUAGGUUUUUCCUCUGACUAUUUGAUUAUUUUUCCAGAAGAGAUCUAAUGCUUCGGAAACAGAGCUUCUGCAAUGGAUUAAGAGCGAUGCGAAAGAGCUUUGGAAAUGCCGUUUUCUAGGUAUUCUUUUGAGGGAGGAAAGAAAGAAGAAGCAGCAGAAUUGGUGUAAAGAAUAAAGAUGGCCGGAGAUCGGGGAAAGGGAGAUCGACAGAUUUGACCGCUCUCUAAGGCCUUGAGGCGGAACGAAGCGUUCCACAUGAAAACUGAGAGAACUUGGUUUAGCUUCUCUAGUUCGCCCUUUGUCAUCGCUGGCGAGAUCAGAAAGAGAAGAAAGGGUGGGCGACGAUCCAUCGAGCGUAGAGAAUAAAUUUUGGUUUGGGGAUGGCAAAAUUGGGUUUGAUCUCUUGGUCAGUUUAUGAUGGAGGUUGCUAUGUCCUAGGUAAGUUUAUUUUCUGGCAGUAUAUAUGAAAUAUGUUUGGAUGUUAUUUCUAUAUUCUAUCCUUUAUCAUUUCAUAACCCUGCCAAUGUCUUUGUUUAUGUUUGAAUGAAUUUGCUCGUCAAUGCAUCCGGGAUUGUUGUUAAAGCUCUGGUGUUCAUUGAGGUGCUUUCUUAACAUAAAUCCAGGAUUGGAGAGAUUUGUCUGGUUUCAUCUUAUGUAUUCUAGAUGUUCUAUGUUUGCUUGUAGUUUGUCACUUCAUCUCAUAUACUCGUAUGACUAAAAAUUUCUGAUAUAAAUAAUAAUCGAUUGUUUCCAUUAGUCCCUUAUCAUUUUGAUCUUUGUUCGUUCAGAUUCCACAUCACCAAAAUUUAUGGACAUCCUGUUUAUGGAUUGAAAAAGAGGGAUCAUUAGUUGUAUACCUGAUGCCAACUAUAAAUAAAUAAAUAAACAAAUAAAAAGGGAUCAUUAAUGUGUUAACUUGAAAGCCUAUGUGUAAAAUCCUAACCUCAAUGAUAAUGUCACAUUUCACUAUGAUUCAGAUAUUCAAAGACCUACACUUGCUGCCAUUCCAAUUACUAAUUUUGAAAACUUUGAAUUCCUUGAUUGCAAAUUCCUUAAAAUCCCUAACAUUGAAAACCCUUAUUCAAUGAUAGAUUUAACAAUCAGAAAUGAGUUGUUUCAUAUUUAUCUUACUCUUGCAGUGAUGAAUUGUAGGUUCCCAUUUUAUUUUAUUUUAUUUUAUUUCUUUUUUUUCCCCUUAAUUUAUAUAGAAUUUUUCUAAUCCUCUAUAUUGUGCAAACAUGUCAGGGCCCAACUGGGCACUUUUGUGAGUUGGAGCAGAACUUUCUCUAAGUGUUCGUUAGCAUUAGAGUAUAAUACAUCUAUAUUACUUAGACUCUAGCUAUGGAUCUAGUUGUCCAAUGUCUUAUUUUCUAAUAGUUUUUAAACAAGAUCAAUGGAGAAGUGCAUACUUCUUGAUUGAGGUGUACAGCACAUUAUUCUCUAAGUUAUUAAAUGUGAUUAUGAACCCAUUAGGUUUGGAUUUUAGUGUCAUUGUUUGACUUGGAUGUUUGACAAGGUACAGGAGUUAGAUUGAGAGGCUGAUUAUUAAAGUAGUACACUGAUUUUAAAAAACCAAUGGUUGAAAUGUUUGAUGGGAUUUUGAUGAAAAGUGAAUUAAAAACCUUAGAUUAGGUUCUUCACAAGAUAUGACUGCCUUCUCGUAUUGAUUAGGUUCUUCACAAGAUAUGACUGCCUUCUCGUAGUGAUUAGGUCACAUAAACCAGAGACCUUAUUUUGAUUGUGGACCCCCCUACCUCUUCUGCCCCCUUUUCCCUUCCUCUUCUCUAAUUCCUCCCAACUUCGUGUAAUGUUUAUAAAUUGUCAACAUCUUUGGUCAAUAUAUCACCCAUGCUUCUCAAUUGCCUCCUGAUCUUCUUGCACGCUGUUUGGAAAGAAGAAGAUAAUUCCACCUAAGUUUGGAAAGUGAAGGACUCCAUUCAUGAUAAUUGAAAUAAAUUCAGAACAACCUGCCUGAGGUGGGGCUAGUGCAAAGAACUCACUGGGAAAGGUGCAAGUAAAUCUACUAUGCCGUGAAAAGUAAUCAUAUGGUAAGCUGAUUUUACUGCUACUAUACUGCCAUGUAACUGUCUCCAAUUUGCAGACUCAGAUGAGAUUAUAUAUGGCAAAUGAUGCAAAUUUUGAAGCAUACUGAAUGAGACAGGCUUAUCAUAUAAUAGCCGAAGAGAAAGAUGGGUGGAUUUGAGCUCUUAAAUCCUGACAAGCUUAUUAGCACAUACUAGGUAUAGAUCUGGAAAGAGGCUUCUCACCACAACCCCCAUGUCCAUUCCCAGAGCAGAAAGGAAAUUCUGAUCAUCUAGAUUCCCCCUCAAUGAUUCUCAACAUGCAAAAAUCCCAAACAUUCCAGGUAUUCUUCUAUGAGAAAUUUUCUGUUCUCUUUUUCUGCACAAAUUUUCUGAGGUUCACUCAGAUCAAAGCUGAUGAAGAUAAAAUUUUGAAGAAUUUUUGCUAUGCUGUAUUCACUGAAUUAACUUAAAAUCAGGUUGUCAAACAUUUCUGACCUCAAAUUUACUCCCACUUCUCAGGAUCUUUAACUUUGGAUUUAUGUAAAAGUUUCUGAAUGAUAAUUAAAGCUGUUGAUAUUAAUUUCCACCUUCUCCAUGUCUUAUCAUAGAAUGACAGGCUGUAUGGAGACUCCAUAUGCCACCUUGGAGUUUCUAGCUCGCUUAAUGUUAUGUGUCUCUUUGCUACAUCAACAAUCACCAUCGGCUCCAUGUCAGCAAUGAAGAGGAGUAUUGCCAGGGGCGCAUUUUUAACAAUUGCAUUUUAUGUUGUCCCAGUUAUAUUUUUUGUGGUUUUAAUUUGAAGAAGUCACCAACCAUAAUGCAAUUGGAUUUAGCUAUGAGAGUCCAUCAUGACUAAGGGAUUAAGAAUAAAUUUAUUUAUUAGGAGCCAGACCAAGUUUAUAGAAAGAAAUUGUGUAUUCUAUAUAUUUGUAAUGUUUUUUUUUUUAAAAAAAAACAAUAUUAAGCAUGCUUAAUCCAAGUAAUACUUUCUUUAUCCUCCAAGAAGAUUCAGAUUACCUCUCUUCCCCUUGACUAAUUCAAGGUGAUUUUGUGUUCUCUCUAUCAAUGAACAUUAUUUAUCCUCAUCCUUUGCUGUCUAACAUUCAAAGCAAGCCCAGUUGCAUAAAUUAAACGAGUUUGCAGGUUGACCAUCACCUCCCCCAUCUUAUGUCUUUAUUGGCAACUCCUAAGAUGUACACUUUCUGCUUGUUUUUUAGAUUACCUAUCAAAAGCCCUUAAUCUCUCAUUUUCUGAUGAAAGCAAAAUUUUAAUCUAAGACCUUAGCAACAACUUCUAAGGUCCUCACCUACUAAGCUAGUUGACACUUUAUUCAGCUGUUUCUCAUCUGGACUAAUUGCAUUUUUCCUGAAUAUACAGAAGAAUAAUGCAUCUACAAAUUGAAUGCAAUGGAAUACAAAUUGUAUAUGUGUAGUGGUGUUGGAAACAGCACCCUAGUUAAGGCAAAUAUUUUCAGAUAUAUCUCAAUAGAAGUCAAUUAGAACAUUUUGCCUCUGGAAGCAGUUAGUCUAUUAAUAAACAGAUUAACUGUGUUGAGGUUCCUACUUGAAAGCUUAAAUUUAAUAAUUUUUAAGAUUUUUUUUUUGUAUAAUAUUGGCUUGUCAUCGGAUCAUUCAAUCUGCCCAUGUUCUAUUGGCAAAUGAUCAUUGUUUCAUUGGAUGGUGUCAUGUAUUCUAAGGACACAAGAUAGUUUUGUUUAUAAAUGGCAUAAGUUUUGAAAGCGGAAUAUAUAUUGUUCUAAUUUUGUGCUGUUUCAUACUUGUACAUCUGUUGUUUUUGUUAAUUGUGGUUUUACUAAUCCUCACAAUGAUAUGCAGUUUUGUGUUGAUAUCUUAUAUGCAAAGGUUCAUAAUUUUGAAUUAUUGGACUUGUUAAGUAGCAAAUCUGACAGUUUGUAGGAAUCUUUGCAUACUGGGAUCAUUAUCCUUCUCCAACUUUGCCAAUGAUUGUGAUGUACUCCGUAUUUUGUAUAUGGAAUUAGUAUCUCUUUUAUAAAUAAUGACCGUCAUGUUCCUGCAAGUCAAGUUUUCUUCUCUUCCUCUUUCGUGUAAUCUUCAAUUUGAAUUCUUCACCAACAUUUUUAGUGGUAAUUUGUAUCUUCAUGAGCCACUUCUGCGAGUGCAAUUGAAAAUUUUAAAAAAAAUCCAACAAACUCCACCUUAUCGUCCAUGGGGUAUUGAAUAUUUUCUGUAGUUGACCACUUUUUUGCAGAUACGAGGAUGAAAAUGAAUAGUCAGUAUUUGGUGAUACUUUGGAAAUGGCAAUCUGUUACUACUUUAAAUGCUAGGAUCACACUAGAUUCAACUAAUCUUGUUGCCUGAAUCAAUCACGGUAUAUUGAAUGGAAGUGGACCAUUACCAUUGUGCAUCUACUUUCAUUAUAAAUAUUGGAGACUGGAUGCAUACCCACAGAUCUGUUAUUUCAGGAGACACUGUGAAUUCGGGUUCUGUUUAUAUUCUGCUUUGAACUCGUAUGUAGUUUGUAACUUACUCUCUUCUUAUACAGUAGGAUUUUGUUUUUGUCUCCAUUGAUGUAUAACCACAUGUAUCUUGAACAUUCUCGCAGGCAGUAUCCUACAUUUCCUUUUCAAUCUCUGUGGUGAAAAAAAAUGAAAUUGAUAGGUAAGUGGGGGACCGAGACAAGCUGCCGUGAGGCUGCCAGUGGAGAUGGGAGGUUGGUGGAUCAAUUCUGGCUAGAUGGAAUGAAGCUUGAUAGGGAUAAAGAGAGAAUGAAUGGAAUGAGUGGCCUGGCAGUCAGGUCGAGCACGAUGAUGCAGACAGGAAAGCGACAGGUCGGCGAUAGCAACAGGACAGCGACUUCCUUGUCAGCUCGACUAGGGAAACUGGUCCACAAGCAAGACACUUCCGGAUAUAUCUCCAUGGAACAGUGCAGUUGUCACCGCAGUAGGAGUGCAAGAAAGAAGUGUGACAGAAUGACAUAAAAUAUGGAAACGAGUGGCUGUUUCUGAACAAUUGAAUGAAUGAAUGAAUGGUUGGAAUUUUCA